rnacentral:rRNA from 1 species
GACGAACGCUGGCGGCGUGCUUAACACAUGCAAGUCGAACGCUGAAGCUCAGCUUUUGUUGGGUGGAUGAGUGGCGAACGGGUGAGUAACACGUGAGUAACCUGCCUCCUUCUUUGGGAUAACGCCCGGAAACGGGUGCUAAUACUGGAUAUUCACUGGUCUUCGCAUGGGGGUUGGUGGAAAGGGUUUUUCUGGUGGGGGAUGGGCUCGCGGCCUAUCAGCUUGUUGGUGGGGUGAUGGCCUACCAAGGCUUUGACGGGUAGCCGGCCUGAGAGGUGACCGGUCACAUUGGGACUGAGAUACGGCCCAGACUCCUACGGGAGGCAGCAGUGGGGAAUAUUGCACAAUGGGCGCAAGCCUGAUGCAGCGACGCCGCGUGAGGGAUGGAGGCCUUCGGGUUGUGAACCUCUUUCGCUCAUGGUCAAGCCGCAACAAUGGUUGUGGUGAGGGUAGUGGGUAAAGAAGCGCCGGCUAACUACGUG